UUAAUGUCCAGGAGAGUGGCCCUCCGCAUGGAGGGCUGACUAGAGAUUUAUCGGUAUGGGAUGAGCUUGCGUCCGAUUAGCUAGUUGGCGGGGCAACGGCCCACCAAGGCGACGAUCGGUAGCCGGCCUGAGAGGGUGAUCGGCCACAUUGGGACUGAGAUACGGCCCAGACUCCUACGGGAGGCAGCAGUAGGGAAUAUUGCACAAUGGGGGAACCCUGAUGCAGCAACGCCACGUGUGGGAAGAAGCAUUUCGGUGUGCAAACCACUGUCAUGAGGGAAUAAGGCCCUUAUCCGUAAGGGAUUGAAUGUACCUUGAGAGGAAGCACCGGCAAGCUUCGUGCCAGCAGCCGCGGUAAUACGAGGGGUGCAAGCGUUGUUCGGAAUUACUGGGCGUAAAGGGAGCGUAGGCGGAGAUUCAAGCGGAUUGUACAAUCCCGGGGCCCAACCCCGGCUCUGCAGUCCGAACUGGAUCUCUUGGAUAGUUCAGGGGCAGGCGGAAUUCCUGGUGUAGCGGUGGAAUGCGUAGAGAUCAGGAAGAACACCGAUGGCGAAGGCAGCCUGCUGGGGACUCAUCGACGCUGAGGCUCGAAAGUGCGGGUAGCAAACAGGAUUAGAUACCCUGGUAGUCCGCACCGUAAACAAUGCAUACUGGGUGUCCGGGGGUUCCCCCGGGUACCGUAGCCAACGCGUUAAGUAUGCCGCCU
rnacentral:rRNA from 1 species